rnacentral:rRNA from 1 species
GGAAGGUUAAGAGGAGUGGUUAGCUUCUGCGAAGCUACGAAUCGAAGCCCCAGUAAACGGCGGCCGUAACUAUAACGGUCCUAAGGUAGCGAAAUUCCUUGUCGGGUAAGUUCCGACCCGCACGAAAGGCGUAACGAUUUGGGCACUGUCUCAACGAGAGACUCGGUGAAAUCAUAGUACCUGUGAAGAUGCAGGUUACCCGCGACAGGACGGAAAGACCCCGUGGAGCUUUACUGUAGCCUGAUAUUGAAAUUCGGCACAGCUUGUACAGGAUAGGUAGGAGCCUUUGAAACGUGAGCGCUAGCUUACGUGGAGGCGCUGGUGGGAUACUACCCUAGCUGUGUUGGCUUUCUAACCCGCACCACUUAUCGUGGUGGGAGACAGUGUCAGGCGGGCAGUUUGACUGGGGCGGUCGCCUCCUAA